CCUACGGGACGCAGCAGUAAGGAAUAUUGGUCAAUGGACGCAAGUCUGAACCAGCCAUGCCGCGUGAAGGAUGAAGGUCCUCUGGAUUGUAAACUUCUUUUAUAGGGGGCGAAAAAAGGUCUUUCUAGAUCACUUGACAGUACCCUAUGAAUAAGCACCGGCUAACUCCGUGCCAGCAGCCGCGGUAAUACGGAGGGUGCGAGCGUUAAUCGGAAUUACUGGGCGUAAAGCGCUCGUAGGCGGUAUGUCAAGUCAAGGGUGAAAUCCCCGCGCUCAACGUGGGAACUGCCUUUGAAACUGGCAAA
rnacentral:rRNA from 1 species